AUUUCAAGAGGAUGCAGUUUGUCCCAGAAAGAACAUGGCAGCACACGGGGAAGAUGAAGGGGGCCAGUACAGCUUCAGCACUGCCGCACGCAGCAAUUUACCUCAUUCCUAACGAGCAUGGAAACAGUAAAGCUGAAGGCUAAGACAUAAAAGGAGGGCUCAAAGAUUUAGCUUCCAUUGGAGUUUACACAGAAGGAGCAGGAUUGUGAAGAAAGCUCUUAGUCCAAGUUUCUUCACAAAUUGAGAAGCCGGAAAUUUUACAAGAAAAUAAAGAUUUUUUUAAAGA